rnacentral:rRNA from 1 species
UACGUAGGGGGCAAGCGUUGUCCGGAAUCAUUGGGCGUAAAGCGCGCGUAGGCGGCCCGAUAAGUCCGCUGUAAAAGUCCAGGGCUCAACCCUGGAAAGCCGGUGGAUACUGUCGGGCUAGAGUCCGGAAGAGGCGAGUGGAAUUCCUGGUGUAGCGGUGGAAUGCGCAGAUAUCAGGAGGAACAUCGAUGGCGAAGGCAGCUCGCUGGGACGGUACUGACGCU